CGAAGUCGAAUGGCGCCCCCAGCGGCUUGGGGUGGGAUCUCAGUGCCUCAUUCCUGGCGGCCCCGGGAGGGCGAUGCCAAGUUUCGCUCUUGUUCCCUGGGCUGCAGUGCAGUGGCACCAUCUCGGCUCACCGCAACCUCCGCCUCCCAAGUUCAAGCGAUUCUCCUGCCUCAGCCUCCCCAGUAUCUGGGAUUACAGUAAAAUUAAAACAGGCACAAUGAUAUCCUGGAUGACAAGAGCUGGAGGCUGUCAUUCUAACAAUGUAGUGAGACUGGCUGUCUUGUCUCAUGCCCACCCCUGGAAACAUGCGCAGGAACUCAAAGCACCUAGCACAGAGGAAGUGUCUGGUUGUUUUAAAGGAAAAACAAAACCAAAAAAAGCACCUCCUGCUCUGACCACCCCUAUUUCCAGUUUUCCCUUUUGGCACAGCAAAGAUGACCUUGGGACUGAGGUGGAACCAUGUAAUUCUUCGUAAUCCCAGAGUCAGGCAGACCUGGGUAUGAAUUCCAUCUUUACUAACUGUGUGACUCACUGUGUGGCCAUGCCAAGUUACGAGGUCUCUCUGUUUCCUCCUUCCUAAAAAGGAGAUAACAUCCAUCUCGAAGGAAGAUCUGGCCUGAAGAGCAGUCACUCUUGCCUGGCAUGCAGAGAAUGCCAAAUCAUAUUAAUGACUGGCCAGAAUGAAGUGCGUGACCUCAUCACUCCAUAACUGACAGGAAACAACUGCUAGGGCAAGAAAAAAGGGUCUCCAGUGAGUAUUCUUGUCCACACACAUCCCCACUCACGUUCCUGGACCACUGCAUCUAACUGCCGCAGCAGCUAAUGAACCUUCUGGAAUAAAGGACCAGUUUCUUAAGAAGGGAUUGAGACCUCCAGUGGCCUCCCACAUUGUUUCCGGCAAGAAUUUAAAAAUUAUUUGUAACAUAUAGUAAUAAAAACUAACCACAGGCUGGGCGCAGUGGCUCACGCCUGUAAUCCCAGCACUUUGGGAGGCUGAGGCAGGUGGAUCACCUGAGGUCAGGAGUUCGAGACCAGCCUGACCAAUAUGGUGAAACCCUGUUUCUCCUAAAAAUACAAAAAUUAGCUGGGCAUGGUGGUGGGCGCCUGUAAUCUCAGCUACUCAGGAGGCUGAAACAGGAGAACUGCUUGAAUCUGGGAGGUAGAUGUUGCAGUGAGCCGAUAUCGCGCCAUUGCACUCCAGCCUGGGCAAUGACUCCGUCUCAAAAAAAAAAAAAAAAAAAAAAAACUAACCACAGCUACUAUUUAUGAACUCUAGUGCCACACCCCAUUUCUUCCCAGGUUUCACCCCCUCUUCCCAGGUUUCACCCACCCCAACCAGUGUUGUUUGCAACACUUCAGCUUCUCUCCUCACGAAGCACGUCUCCAGAGACGCCUCUUCCGCAACUUCCCAGGGAAGCCAUUUCUGCCUGGACCCACCACAGCUCCCAACCUGUCACGCACCCCUGGAGGGUUUUGCUCUGUAAUCCUGAUUUAGAAAUCCUCUUAUAUGAAACCACUGUAAUCCACAUCUGGUUAGACAAUUGGAAAAGUUCAUUGAAAGGAGAAAUAAUAAAAAUGGCAUCCAUCCCUUAA
rnacentral:lncRNA from 10 species